AGAAUCAACGCUGGCGGCGUGCCUAACACAUGCAAGUCGAACGGGAAAGUGGAGCAAUCCAUGAGUAUAGUGGCGACCGGGUGAGUAACACGUGACUACCUGCCCUUGAGUGGGGGAUAACCUCGGGAACCGAGGCUAAUACCGCAUAACAUCGCAAGAUCAAAGGAGCAAUCCGCUUUUGGAGGGGGUCGCGGCUGAUUAGCUAGUUGGUAAGGUAAUGGCUUACCAAGGCGAAGAUCGGUA
rnacentral:rRNA from 1 species